UUCAUGAGAUACAGCCUGGUGACAGACAGACGAACAGACGGACAGUGGACGGAGUCUUAGUAAUAGGGUCCCAUUUUACCCUUUGGGUACGGAACCCCAAAAACGCUUUUACUAUGAACUUUUAUGAACUACAUAUUUCACGCUGUAAAUAACUAUUUGAAUGUUUGUAUCAUUAACAAUCUCGCAAUAUUUAUUUAUUUUACUUAAAUUGUAUAGAAGACUGAGGAUUUUGGGCAGUGCAAUAUUGAAUUGCGUUCUUAAAUUACAUUUUUAUUUAUUUUUAAUGAUCGUCAAUAAAAUAUUUGUGGCAAAAACGUCGUGAUCUUUUUAAAUCUAGUCAUAUUGUGUCAAAUUGAAGCCAUUUUAUGAUUUUGUUACUAUUUAAUAUUGAUUAUUUUGUACCGCGUUUAUUAGUUUAAUUAAAUAUUAAGUAGAAAGUUUAAGGGGUAAUGUUAUUUUAUUGUAAAACUGUUAGCAUUACCUUUAGCGUAAGUGGAGGAGAGUUGUUUAAAAUUUAAUUCUGUUCCUUUUUUGAGAAUAAACAGUUUUUAUUUUGUAUUUGGAA